rnacentral:lncRNA from 1 species
CCUCUUAUGUUAACCUUUUUUAAGGGUAGCCACAUACUAGCCAUCAAGAAAACAGGAAAAUACAAGGGGAAUCAGGCAGCCAUUAGUUGCCAAAAUUUAAGUCGGUGGAUAUAGGCCAGAACACUAUCGAGGAAGACUAUACAAGUUCACGAUCAAAGUGUAACUACUAAGUGGAGAUUCACUAGAACAGCAGCAAAUUAUGCCAAACUUUGUUCAUAUACCAACAAUGUUCACCGAAUGUAAAACAAAAGUCGACCUUGAUUUAAGCAUAUAAAAGGAGGCCUAGAUUCGCCUUUUUCAAGCAGAAAAGUAGACAUGACAACCAUCGCUGCAAUAAAAGAGCUCAAAAUCAGAAGAUCACGAGUCACCCACAAAAAGUUUGCCAUACAGCCACUCACACACAAAAAAGAAAGCAUAUAUAUUGGUGUAAGGGCAAUUGCAAACAUAAGAAAUGUAAUUAGUAAUCACUGGCUCCCCUCCUUAUCAGAGACGAUGGAGUCAAACUACCCUGAAACCAACCGCCUCUCACUCAGCGCAAAGCCUCGUAUUUAAAACCAUUCAUACAGCAAUCUUAAGGAAAAAAAAUUUCAUGCAAAAGCAAUCGCGAAUUUCUCAUUUAGAAAAAAGUUCGAAAUCAAGUGGGAGCAUGAAAAGGAACUAAAAUACCUGUUAUGUUAACCUUUUUGAUGGCUAGCCACAUACUAGCCAUCAAGAAAACAGGAAAAAUACAAGGGGAAGCAAGCAGCCACUAGUUGUCAAAAUAUAAGUUGUUGGACAUAGGCCAGAACACUGUCGAGGAAGAGUAAAGUUCACGAUCAAAGUGUAACUACUAAGUGGGGAUUCACUAGAACAGCAGCAAAUUAUGCAAAACUUUGUUCACAUACCAACAAUAUUCCCCGAAUGUAAAACUAAAGUCGACCUUGAUUUAAUCAUAUAAAAAGAGCCCCAGAUUCGCCUUUUUCAAGCAGAAAAGUGAACAGGACAACCAUGGCUGCAAUAGGAGCUCAAAACCAGAAGCUCACGAGUCACCCACACAAAGCUCACGAGUUAACCACACAAAGUUCGCCAGACAGCUACUCACACACACAAGAAAGAAAGCAGAUAUAUUGGUAUAAGGGCAGUUGCAAACAUAAGGAACGUAAUACCUAUCAGAAAGGACAGAGUCAACCAUCCUGAAACCAACCACCUCUCACUAAGAGCAAAGCCUCUUACUUAAACCAUUCACACAACAAUCUUAAGGUAAACAAAUUUCAUGCAAAAGCAAUUGCGAAUUUCUUUUUUAGAAAAAUGUUCAAAAUCAAG